UGUGAGUAGAAGCCAGGUAAGAGAUGUCUAAGGUUGGCCCAUACAAAUCAUCCCAUGUGUGAUCUGCCAUGCUCUUUCCAUUUUGUAGCCAUCUUGGAAUCUGUGUGUUGAAGAAUGAAAAGCAAUGAGAUGUAAGAAACCCGGGUCUCUGAAUCACUGUUGGAACACAGAGGGUUGCAGGUCACAUCUUAGAAUUAUAUAUGCUACUGUUUAUCAUGAGGACGAAUAUACGUUCCACUCACCAGUUAACCACUUGUCUGCAGCUGCCAGUAUUGCAUCCUUCUGGUUACUAUAGAAAUCAAUAACCCUAGAAAAAGAAAACAAUGAAAUGGAUGUGCUCAGUACAUUGAUUGCAGAAGCAAAACAGUCUCCAGAGUCCAGGCUAUAAGAAUUUGUUUUCUAUCUUGAUUAAAAUGUUGAAUGCUUGAUAGAAGAAUGGAGCAUAUUUGUUUCACUUGUCUGGUGAAAAACUUUUAACUGCUGUGUUUUUUCCUUCAUUGUAGAAUAAUUACAAAAUAAAAAUUCAUAAAGAGAA